CUUACACAUGCAAGUCAACUUGAAUUUGGGUUUUUUAACUUAGAUUUGGGUGGCGGACGGGUGAGUAACGCGUAAAGAACUUGCCUCACAGCUAGGGACAACAUUUGGAAACGAAUGCUAAUACCUGAUAUUAUGAUUUUAAGGCAUCUUAGAAUUAUGAAAGCUAUACGCGCUGUGAGAGAGCUUUGCGUCCCAUUAGCUAGUUGGAGAGGUAACGGCUCACCAAGGCGAUGAUGGGUAGCCGGCCUGAGAGGGUGAACGGCCACAAGGGGACUGAGACACGGCCCUUACUCCUACGGGAGACAGCAGUGGGGAAUAUUGGACAAUGGACCAAGAGUCUGAUCCAGCAAUUCUGUGUGCACGAUGACGUUUUUCGGAAUGUAAAGUGCUUUCAGUUGGGAAGAAAAAAAUGACGGUACCAACAGAAGAAGUGACGGCUAAAUACGUGCCAGCAGCCGCGGUAAUACGUAUGUCACGAGCGUUAUCCGGAUUUAUUGGGCGUAAAGCGCGUCUAGGUGGUUAUGUAAGUCUGAUGUGAAAAUGCAGGGCUCAACUCUGUAUUGCGUUGGAAACUGUGUAACUAGAGUACUGGAGAGGUAAGCGGAACUACAAGUGUAGAGGUGAAAUUCGUAGAUAUUUGUAGGAAUGCCGAUGGGGAAGCCAGCUUACUGGACAGAUACUGACGCUGAAGCGCGAAAGCGUGGGUAGCAAACAGGAUUAGAUACCCUGGUAGUCCACGCCGUAAACGAUGAUUACUAGGUGUUGGGGGUCGAACCUCAGCGCCCAAGCAAACGCGAUAAGUAAUCCGCCUGGGAGUACGUACGCAAGUAUGAAACUCAAAGGAAUUGACGGGGACCCGCACAAGCGGUGGAGCAUGUGGUUUAAUUCGACGCAACGCGAGGAACCUUACCAGCGUUUGACAUCUUAGGAAAGAGACAGAGAUGUUU
rnacentral:rRNA from 1 species